CCUACGGGGUGCAGCAGUGGGGAAUAUUGCACAAUGGGGGAAACCCUGAUGCAGCGACGCCGCGUGAGUGAAGAAGUAAUUCGUUAUGUAAAGCUCUAUCAGCAGGGACGAAAAUGACGGUACCUGAGUCAGAAGCCCCGGCUAACUACGUGCCAGCAGCCGCGGUAAUACGUAGGGGGCAAGCGUUCUCCGGAUUUACUGGGUGUAAAGGGAGCGUAGACGGCAGUGCAAGUCUGGAGUGAAAGGCGGGGGCUCAACCCCCGGACUGCUCUGGAAACUGUACGGCUGGAGUGCAGGAGAGGUAAGUGGAAUUCCGAGUGUAGCGGUGAAAUGCGUAGAUAUUAGGAGGAACACCAGUGGCGAAGGCGGCUUACUGGACUGUAACUGACGUUGAGGCUCGAAAGCGUGGGGAGCAAACAGGAUUAGAUACCCUUGUAGUC
rnacentral:rRNA from 1 species